UACGUAGGGUGCAGGCGUUAAUCGGAAUUACUGGGCGUAAAGCGUGCGCAGGCGGCUCCUUAAGUCAGAUGUGAAAUCCCCGGGCUUAACCUGGGAACUGCGUUUGAAACUGGGGGGCUAGAGUGUGGAAGAGGGGGGUGGAAUUCCAGGUGUAGCAGUGAAAUGCGUAGAGAUCUGGAGGAACACCGAUGGCGAAGGCAGCCCCCUGGGCUAACACUGACGCUCAUGCACGAAAGCGUGGGGAGCAAACAGG
rnacentral:rRNA from 1 species